rnacentral:rRNA from 1 species
GACGAACGCUGGCGGCGUGCUUAACACAUGCAAGUCGAGCGGAAAGGCCACUUCGGUGGUACUCGAGCGGCGAACGGGUGAGUAACACGUGAGUAAUCUGCCCCUCACUCAGGGAUAACCAUUGGAAACGGUGGCUAAUACCUGAUAUGACCACGUCUCGCAUGGGGUGUGGUGGCAAGCGUGUAGUGGUGAGGGAUGUGCACGCGGCCUAUCAGCUUGUUGGUGAGGUAGUGGCCCACCAAGGCUUCGACGGGUAGCCGGCCUGAGAGGGUGACCGGCCACACUGGGACUGAGACACGGCCCAGACUCCUACGGGAGGCAGCAGUGGGGAAUAUUGGACAAUGGGCGAAAGCCUGAUCCAGCAACGCCGCGUGAGGGAUGACGGCCUUCGGGUUGUAAACCUCUUUCACCCAUGACGAAGCGCAAGUGACGGUAGUGGGAGAAGAAGGACCGGCCAACUACGUGCCAGCAGCCGCCGUAAGAC